AGGUGGAAGUUAUGAUACCUACAGACUCCUCAGUGAAACAUUAGUUUGCAAAGUGAUUCCACUGCCUCCCCAGAAAACACGUCAGCAGGAGCAUUCCGUGGAGGUGGAGGAACGGUCCACUAUGGAGCAUCAUCAUCAGGCAGACCUAGAGGCUGACAUCAGCAGGUUUAGUUCGGUAAGGGAGAUGACACACGACACUGCGGAUACCU